UGGGGAAUAUUGCACAAUGGGCGAAAGCCUGAUGCAGCAACGCCGCGUGAGGGACGACGGCCUUCGGGUUGUAAACCUCUUUUAGCAAGGAAGAAGCGGAAGUGACGGUACUUGCAGAAAAAGCGCCGGCUAACUACGUGCCAGCAGCCGCGGUAAUACGUGGGGCGCAAGCGUUAUCCGGAAUUAUUGGGGCGUAAAGAGCUCGUAGGCGGUUUGUCGCGUCUGCUGUGAAAACCCGAGGCUCAACCUCGGGCCUGCAGUGGGUACGGGCAGACUAGAGUGCGGUAGGGGAGAUUGGAACUCCUGGUGUAGCGGUGGAAUGCGCAGAUAUCAGGAAGAACACCGAUGGCGAAGGCAGAUCUCUGGGCCGUAACUGACGCUGAGGAGCGAAAGGGUGGGGAGCAAACAGGCUUAGAUACCCUGGUAGUCCACCCCGUAAACGUUGGGAACUAGUUGUGGGGUCCAUUCCACGGAUUCCGUGACGCAGCUAACGCAUUAAGUUCCCCGCCUGGGGAGUACGGCCGCAAGG
rnacentral:rRNA from 1 species